AUUGAACGCUGGCGGCAGGCCUAACACAUGCAAGUCGAACGAGUGGCGGACGGGUGAGUAAUGUCUGGGAACCUGCCUGAUGGAGGGGGAUCACUACUGGAAAAGGUAGCUAAUACCGCAUACUAUAAGAUUCGCCCAGAUGGGAUUAGCUGGUUGGUGGGGUAACGGCUCACCAAGGCGACGAUCCCUAGCUGGUCUGAGAGGAUGACGAGCCACACUGGAACUGAGACACGGUCCAGACUCCUACGGGAGGCAGCAGUGGGGAAUAUUGCACAAUGGGCGCAAGCCGGAUGCAGCCAUGCCGCGUGGAUGAAGAAGGCCUUCGGGUUGUAAAGUACUUUCAGCGGGGAGGCGUUACCCGCAGAAGAAGCACCGGCUAACUCCGUGCCAGCAGCCGCGGUAAUAC
rnacentral:rRNA from 1 species